CAGAGGUAGUUGCUAGGAGACGGUAUUGUCCGCGGCUGUUUAGAUGUGAGGACACUGGUUUGCCUAGUGUCUGGAGUAUUGUUUGGUUUUAGUUAAGACUAGGCCGGAGAUCAGACACUGGUUUGCCUAGUGCCUUAGGUGCCUAAAGGUCUAAAACAGUUAUUAGAGGAGAUAUAAGAAGCAGGUAAUAGAAUGAUGACAGUAAUAGAAUGAUGACAGAAUAGUUAGGAAGGAGCCGAGGAAGAGGAGGGCAGGAAUAGACUGAAGAGGAAGGCGGAAUGAGAGUAAGAGACAGCUACCGAUAAGGCAAGAAUGAGAGGGAGUGUGGAAGGAAGUCUUAGAGUUGGUUCUAUCCUUUGUGUAAAAGGGCUGAAUUGGGCUCAUCCCGUUACAGAAUCUGUGGCAUAUUACUAUCCAGAAAUUCUUUUAUGUCAAAUAGAAGCAGCUAAACUGGUAUGA
rnacentral:lncRNA from 1 species